CAAUAGCGUCUAUUAAAGUUGUUGCAGUUAAAAAGCUCGUAGUUGGAUUUGUGGCGUACGGUGGGUUCCGGGCACUUGUUGUCUGAGUAACUUGCUGUUGCCAUCCUUGGGUGGAACCUGUGUGGCAUUAGGUUGUCGUGCAGGGGAUGCCCAUCAUUUACUGUGAAAAAAUUAGAGUGUUCAAAGCAGGCUUAUGCCGUUGAAUAUAUUAGCAUGGAAUAAUGAGAUAGGACUUUUUUGCUAUUUUGUUGGUUUGCGCAAAGAGGUAAUGAUUAAUAGGGACAGUUGGGGGUAUUCGUAUUCCAUUGUCAGAGGUGAAAUUCUUGGAUUUUUGGAAGACGAACUACUGCGAAAGCAUUUACCAAGGAUGUUUUCAUUAA
rnacentral:rRNA from 1 species